GGAGUCGGCCAGACGGCGGCCUCGGUGCAAGCCGGGGAGGAAAGUCCGGACUUCAUAGGGCGCGGCGCCCCGGGCAAUCGGGGGCGAGGCGACUCGACGGAAAGUGCCACAGAAACAUACCGCCCCGAUUCGUCGGAGCAAGGGUGAAAUGGUGAGGUAAGAGCUCACCGGCGUUCCGGGCAACCGGACGGCCGGGCAAACCCCGCCGGAAGCAAGGCCAAAUAGGGAGGGGUUGACGCGGCCCGCCGACCCUCCGGGUUGGCCGCAUAGACAAAUCGCCGUCCAAGACAGAAUCCGGCUUAUCGGCCGACUCCACCU
rnacentral:RNase_P_RNA from 1 species